rnacentral:rRNA from 1 species
GAUGAACGCUGGCGGCGUGCCUAAUACAUGCAAGUCGAGCGAACAGACGAGGAGCUUGCUCCUCUGACGUUAGCGGCGGACGGGUGAGUAACACGUGGAUAACCUACCUAUAAGACUGGGAUAACUUCGGGAAACCGGAGCUAAUACCGGAUAAUGUAUUGAACCGCAUGGUUCAAUAGUGAAAGACGGUUUUGCUGUCACUUAUAGAUGGAUCCGCGCCGCAUUAGCUAGUUGGUAAGGUAACGGCUUACCAAGGCGACGAUGCGUAGCCGACCUGAGAGGGUGAUCGGCCACACUGGAACUGAGACACGGUCCAGACUCCUACGGGAGGCAGCAGUAGGGAAUCUUCCGCAAUGGGCGAAAGCCUGACGGAGCAACGCCGCGUGAGUGAUGAAGGUCUUCGGAUCGUAAAACUCUGUUAUUAGGGAAGAACAAAUGUGUAAGUAACUAUGCACGUCUUGACGGUACCUAAUCAGAAAGCCACGGCUAACUACGU